AACGAACGCUGGCGGCAUGCCUAACACAUGCAAGUCGAACGAAGCCUUCGGGCUUAGUGGCGCACGGGUGCGUAACGCGUGGGAAUCUGCCCUUGGGUUCGGAAUAACAGUUAGAAAUGACUGCUAAUACCGAAUGAUGUCUUCGGACCAAGGAUUUAUCGCCCAAGGAUGAGCCCGCGUCGGAUUAGCUAGUUGGUGAGGUAAAGGCUCACCAAGGCGACGAUCCGUAGCUGGUCUGAGAGGAUGAUCAGCCACACUGGGACUGAGACACGGCCCAGACUCCUACGGGAGGCAGCAGUGGGGAAUAUUGGACAAUGGGCGAAAGCCUGAUCCAGCAAUGCCGCGUGAGUGAUGAAGGCCUUAGGGUUGUAAAGGCUCUUUUACCCGGGAUGAUAAUGACAGUACCGGGAGAAUAAGCCCCGGCUAACUCCGUGCCAGCAGCCGCGGUAAU
rnacentral:rRNA from 1 species